UACGAAGGGGGCUAGCGUUGCUCGGAAUCACUGGGCGUAAAGGGCUCGUAGGCGGCCAACUAAGUCGGAUGUGAAAUCCCCAGGCUUAACCUGGGAACUGCAUCCGAUACUGGAUGGCUUGAAUUCGGGAGAGGGAUGCAGAAUUCCAGGUGUAGCGGUGAAAUGCGUAGAUAUCUGGAGGAAUACCGGUGGCGAAGGCGGCAUCCUGGACCGACAUUGACGCUGAGGAGCGAAAGCUAGGGGAGCAACAGG
rnacentral:rRNA from 1 species